rnacentral:misc_RNA from 1 species
UUGAAGAAUGUGAAGAAACAUAUAAAGCAGCAGCUAGGUGAUGCAGAAACUAGGACAUUAUUGUCCAAAGCCAUUUACUUGAUUAGCAUUGGAGGCAAUGAUUACAUAGCACCUUCCAGUGAGUUUGAGUCCUUCCCUAAAGAAGAAUUUGUAGGGAUGGUCAUUGGCAACCUGACAUCUGUGAUCAAAGACAUUUAUAAGGUUGGAGGAAGGAAAUUUGCAUUUGUAAGCAUGGGGGCUUUUGAUUGUUCACCAAACAUGAGAGCACUUAAACAGGACAAAGGAGGCUGCGAUGAAGAAGUCACAGCUCUAGCAAAACUACACAAUAAAGUACUUCCUGAUGUGCUUAAAGAGCUACAGGGUCAGCUGAAGGAGUUUAAGUACAUAAAUUUUGAUUUCUACACUACAUUAAAAGAAAGAAUUAAUAACCCUUCAAAAUAUGGUUUCAAGGAGGCA